AAUCAACGCUGGCGGCGUGCCUCAGACAUGCAAGUCGAACGAUUAAACUUGCCUUCGGGCAAGAUAUAAAGUGGCGCACGGGUGAGUAACACGUAAGUAAUCUACCUUCGAGUGGGGAAGUAACGUCGGGAACCGACGCUAAUACCGCAUAAUGCAGCGGCACCUAAUGGUGACAGUUGUUAAAGGAGCAAUUCGCUUGAAGAGGAGCUUGCGGCAGAUUAGCUAGUUGGAAGGUAAUGGCUUACCAAGCUACGAUCUGUAACCGGUCUAAGAGGACGGUCGGUCACACUGACACUGAAUAACGGGUCAGACUCCUACGGGAGGCAGCAGUCGGGAAUUUUGGGUCGAAUGGGCGAAAGCCUCGACCCACGCAACGCCGCGUGAAGGAUGAAGUAUUUC
rnacentral:rRNA from 1 species